CGCUCUGUCUGGACCGCGCACGCCCGAGACCGCCCGCGGGGCGAGGCGCAGCCUCAGAAAAUGGCGGCGCCCUACGCGGCUUCCGAGUCUGGGGAAGGCGUGGCCAAUCACGAGGCGGAUCAAGGAAGAGAGGCGGGCCUUCUGCAGACGGGCGGCGCCGGCAGCCAAUCGGAGGGCAGCGCGGCGGCCGGACGGGCAGCGGGGUUGAGGGCAGCCCGUGUUGUUCUUACGGGCCGCGUGGGUCUGCCGGCUCUGUUCUCCGUGGUGGCCUGGAGAGGACGCGCGGGGGCUUCGUUUUCCCUCCUUGCCCCGUUUGCAUGGAAUCAUAGAACGGCCUGGGUUGAAAAGGAGCUCAGAGACCAUCGAGUUCCAACCCCCUGCUGUGUGCAGGGUCGCCAACCACCAGAGCGGGCGUUUGCCUACCCGUAGUCUCCACAGCACGGCUCGCAGAGCACAGGGAUGGCUGCAGUGCCGGGCAGACACCCGCCUGCUGUCCCAGCCAGCACUUUGACCGUGUUGAAAGCCAAGGCCACACGGCACAGCAAAGUGACAGCCUUCAUCCGACACCCAGAGCUGAUAAAAACACAGCAGACAAAGCAGAACUCGUGGAUUGAGAUAGGAACUGUUUACUAAGGCAAAAGGAAGAGAGAAAAGAUAUUAUAUGUAUGACCCUCGUGGACAAAAGGUCCUGCACGGAGCUGUGGAGGAACGGGCCGCUGGGAGCAUUCUGCUGUGGUGAGAAAGACAUAGGUACCAGACUCCUUGUCAGCAAGACAAUGAGGAAGAGUGUUUACUUCAUCCCAAGGGACCACCAGAUGGGGAUGCGACCACCCGGAGGAGAAUACAAAGCAUGUGCCAGAGGGGAGGGACUUGAUUAAUGAAUAUGGAGUGGGGUUCAACGUAACCUAUUAAAUAUGUAUGAAGUUGACUUACAGAUGGGUAACAUUUCUGCGGACCGGUAUGCGAGUUAGGAGGAGCUAUCCGCCUUGCAUCCAACUCUGCGCAGCGUUGAUUAAAACGUACCUGAUUUUAUAACUACUUUGUGGUUAUAUGGAGUUUGGUUCCGCAGGCCACACUGACACGAGCGAACGCCUGGUUUUGAAGGCUCACAGCAUGGCAGCCGUGCCAUGAGCUGCUUGUCCCCCCUUUCCCACUCUUCCUGCUGACAGGCCUUCCCUUUGCAGAGCAGCGUGGCCAUCCUCGGCCCUCUACUUCUUUUGCAGCAGUUUUAUCUCCGUGUACACCACUUCUGAGGCCUCAGGCAUCACCCCUGACCUGUCAAAGAUCAGCUUUGCAUACGUCACAUCCUCGGCCUGAGGUGCUGGGGGAGGCUGCAGAGGAAGACAGCAGUGAGCGGAGCCUUUGGCUCUCCGUUCUGCAGUGCCCAGGGACUGGCGUGAGUUAUUUCCCACUGUCCAGGAG
rnacentral:lncRNA from 1 species